UGACAGAUAUUUUUACACACACACACACACACACACACACACACACACACCCAACAGAUUAGAAAAGUUUAAUAAGUACACUUGGAUAUCUAAGUUUUACCAGCUAUUUAUAUCGGCUAUUUAGUUUUCAUCCUGCCAGCAGUGCUUAUUUCAUUUUGUCUAUAUUUAACAUUUGGUCAGGAAUAUGAAAACAUAAUCUGUUUUAAGACUCCUAGAAAGCUAUGAUAUUAUUUCGUUAAUACUAUCAUAGGUUUCUAGGUUACAGGUUGCUCGCUUCUGUAAUCUCAGUACUUUGGGAAGCUGAGGCAGGCAGAUCACUUGAGGUCAGGAGUUUGAGACCAGCCUGGCCAACAUGGUGAAACCCUGUCUCUACUAAAAAUACAAAAAUUAGCCGUGUGUGGUGGUGUGUGUCUGUAGUUCCAGCUACUCAGGAGGCUGAGGCACAAAAAUCACUUGAGCCCGGAAGGCGGAGGUUGCAGCAAGCCAAGAUCGGAUCACUUCACUUUAGCCUUGGUGACAGAGUGAGACUGUGUCUCAGAAAAAAAGAAAAAGAAAA
rnacentral:lncRNA from 10 species